GACGUAGGGCGCGAGCGUUGUCCGGAUUUAUUGGGCGUAAAGAGCUCGUAGGCGGCUUGUUGCGUCGACCGUGAAAACCCGGGGCUCAACUUCGGGCUUGCGGUCGAUACGGGCGGGCUAGAGUUCGGUAGGGGAGACUGGAAUUCCUGGUGUAGCGGUGAAAUGCGCAGAUAUCAGGAGGAACACCGGUGGCGAAGGCGGGUCUCUGGGCAACAACUGACGCUGAGGAGCGAAAGCGUGGGGAGCGAACAGG
rnacentral:rRNA from 1 species